rnacentral:lncRNA from 13 species
UUGACAAAACACUCAGGAAGCCGUCGUGCGGGGCCGGGAAGCAGCUCCCACGCAGAGUCACGGACCCCCACCUCCGAGGGUCCCCGCAGUCCCGUCAGUGACGCGGGCGAAGCAGCCACGCCGUGGGGGAGGCGGGGAGGACGACGGAGCCUCCCACUCGCCGUGACCCGGACCCCGCCCCACGAGUGGGUUCCUCGCAGGGUCCCCUCUGCGGCACACGGGGACCAGCUACCCCACGGGGGACCGGGCAGGAGCGCGCGCCCGGAUCCAUGCAGUCGAGGGGAGCAGUGGGGACCGGACCCCACCCGCGGGGUGACGGGACCCCCGCGCUGGCCCACGCGGCGUCGCAGCAGUCGCGGAGCCCCCGGUGCCACCCGAGGCCGAGACAAAGCCAGGGCGCACGGACCCCGGACCCGGACCCCGGACCCCGCUGGGAGCCGCCACGCCCGGGACACAGACCCCUACCCGGUCCGGAGACCCCGCCGCCCGCUGCGCCGUCUCACCUCAGGCCGCCGCCGCCUCGCAGGGCUCCCUCCUCGCCGCGGCGCCUGGGCCGAAUGGAGCGCGGCGGAGCAGCCGACAGAGCCGCGGCCGCCUCAACAAUGGAGCCCCGGGGCGGGGCCGCAGCCUCAGCCUCAGCCCGUGUUCCUCGCUCGGGCUCCGGAUCGGCCGGCGGAGCUGCUGCCGGCUAGAGGUUUCGGCCGGUACGGACACCGCGCAGGCGCACACGGCCCCGCCCGCCGCUUGCCGCCCCGCCCCCAGCGGAGCCGGGCGCCCAGGGCCCGCCCCCCAGCCAAUAGGAAGAGAGCUGCCCGGAGAGGGCGGGGCCUGGGGGAAACAAAGGAAGGCUGGGCGGGGCGGCGCUGGGGCUGGGCUUGCGGGGUCCCGCGGGAGGGCAGGUCCCAGAGCUGGCCAGAUCCUCGCCUCCUAGAAGGCCCAGCUCAUCGUCCACUUGGUGCUGGCUCAGCAGGACGCUCUCAUCUCAAGCCCAGAGCUCAGGAUUUUUGGGCAGAGAGCAAGAGACAGGCUUGCUUUACAGAAAGGGAAACUGAGGCACUAGGAACAGGAUUGCCUGCCGCCCGAAGUCCCAUCCACUGUUCAUCUUUUAGUCAUUACACAAACAUUUGGAAGCGUUAG